CUAUGUGGACAUUCGUGUGCUACCUGUUGUGCCCUAAGAGGGGGCACAGGGAACAAGUUACCCCAGCCCCCCCUGCUGCCUUUGAUCACCGCAGCAGUGCACUAUUGCACUGCUAAACUGGAAAAAUUAAUGACUGCAGCCUAAGGUCCGAAAAAGGGGCGGAGCUACACGGCACUAUACUCACAGUGACAGGCCAGCCAGCACCAUCGAAGAGAGGAGAGGAGAAGAGCAACAGCACAGCCUAAAUAUGGUGCCAGAAAGCGGAUGCCAGCAGGAAACUGUUUGUUUUGGCAGGAACUCUCCUUAUAAAUAUGCAAACGUAUCAGCAUGAGAGGGAUCUCCCCUUCCACAAGAAGUGGCUGUAGGUUCACAGGGGGCUGCACUCUACCCUGUAUGAGAAGCUUGUUUCAAAAAGUUUGGUCAACAUAGUGAGGACUGGUACACAGAUGGACAGAAAUGUACCAGUGAAGUGCCCAGCAGAAUCCAGAAGGAAUGUCAAGACAUGCUGGGUCAGGAUUAGAGUCAGAAACCAAGACACCAAGCAGCAGAAGAGUCAGUUCCGAACAAAAACUCAAGGACAGUCACUGGAAUGCUCAGGAACUCUGGAGUACAGGUCAGCGCCUGAUACUAUGUGCCUGAGCAUGUUUAAAUAGUUAGACAGAGUCUGAUUGGUUAGAUAAAGUUCCAGACUGGUCCUUUAUUUUAUGUGCCCAUCCUAUUAUAGACCCGGUCAGAGGCAGCAAGAAUACAACAGAAGCCAGCACUGGAGUAAGGGGAAGUAGGAGAAGGGACACAGAUGACACACCAGACCUAAUAGGAGAAAACCAUACUCCAGAUGUAGUUACUGAGAAACCCCAUGAGAUUUCUAGGAUGUUGUCUUACUAUCAUUGUGUGAGGACAAUGUGACAUGUAAUCAGUGGAGAGAGUCUUCACGGGUUCGGUAUGAUUUACUGGCAGACAGGCCCGGUGGCUCGCGACAGGUUCUAUUCCCACUCGGUUGGUGGCAUGGACCAACCGUGUGGGUAUACCGGGUGGAGAUUGAGAUGUCGUCUGUCGGUAUUUCACCAGCAGUUGGGAUUCCGGAGACGGUCUCGUGGAUACUGGGAUCCUGACAGCCGCCAUUGGAACUGCAUCCCGUCUUCACAUCAAGGGCUAAACAUAAAAGCCUCUGAGUUGCCGGGGGUGCGGGACUUUGCAGGCGUCUCUCCGUUUUUUUAAAGCAGCAGUCAUUUACAAGGCAAAAAUGUAUCUCUUUUCACAUGUACAUGUACACACAGAAUGUACGAGCCAAUAAGAUCAUAAGUUUCCUGUUGCCUAGAGCUGUACAAAUUACCACUUACUAACAGUUGCCAAUUCUGAACUAUGUUUUUUUGUUUUAUCUCUGCACAAAUGAUAUAUAAAAGAAAUCAGAGUAAAAACAGGUGCACAUUCUUUUUUAUCAUCUCAAAGCAGAUACAGUUUUAAACCUGUACGUAAAUGUCCAUUUAAGUUGAGAGGCGGUACUCACUUUACACAAGGGGGAAAAAAAAGUUGACC